AGAUAAGACCUAUGCCUCCCGGUAUGAUCACCCUGAGUCUGCCCACAGCUGUGUCUUCCAGUACUUUGCCAGUGCUUAAGGGCAUUUGCUGUGCCUAGAGAAGACCUAUGCUUAAUGGAAGGAUCACCAUGAGUUUGCCCACACCUGUGACUUCUGGUCCUUUUCUGGUGCUUAAGAGAAGUCCAGCAACUCUUGGAAGAAUCAUCCUGAAUCUGGCCAUACAUUUGUCUUCUGGUCCUUUCCCAGUGAUUAAGAGAAGACCUACACCUCCCAGAAGGAGCACCAGGAGUCUGUACAUGGCUGUGUCUUCUGGUGCUUUCCUGGUGCUUAAGGUGAGUGGAGGUCCUGCUCAGAGCCCAAACUUCCAACAUCCCCAUCUCCCUCUCUCUGAGCAUUUUCUGCACCUAAAGAAGACCUGCCCCUCUCAGAAAGACGAUCCUCAAUCUGCCCAUACCUCAGUCUUCAGUGUCUUCCUGUCCUUUCCUGGU